UCCUCGUUAGUAUAGUGGUCAGUAUCCCCGCCUGUCACGCGGGAGACCGGGGUUCAAGUUCCCCGACAGGGAG
rnacentral:tRNA from 1 species